rnacentral:rRNA from 1 species
AUACGGAGGGUGCGAGCGUUAAUCGGAAUUACUGGGCGUAAAGGGUGCGUAGGCGGCAUGGUCAGUCGGAUGUGAAAGCCCCGGGCUUAACCUGGGAACUGCAUUCGAUACUGCCAAGGUAGAGGAUGUUAGAGGAAAGUGGAAUUCCCGGAGUAGCGGUGAAAUGCGUAGAUAUCGGGAGGAACAUCAGUGGCGAAGGCGACUUGCUGGACUAAUCCUGACGCUGAGGAGCGAAAGCGUGGGGAGCAAACGGGAUUAGAUACCCCAGUAGUCC